UGGUGGAGUGAUUUGUCUGGUUAAUUCCGUUAACGAACGAGACCCCUGCCUGCUAAAUAGUCUGGUGAGUGUCUUACACUGACUUUGACUUCUUUAGAGGGACGGUGCAUUCGACUAGUUGCAGGAAGAUAGGGGCGAAUAACA
rnacentral:rRNA from 1 species